rnacentral:rRNA from 1 species
UACGGAGGGGGCUAGCGUUGUUCGGAAUUACUGGGCGUAAAGCGCACGUAGGCGGCUUUGCAAGUUAGAGGUGAAAGCCCGGAGCUUAACUCCGGAGGGUCGGUGGAUACUGCCAGUCUUGAAGGUGCUAGGGGGAGAUGGAAUUACCGGUGUAGCGGUGAAAUGCGUAGAUAUCGGUAGGAACACCAGUGGCGAAGGCGGUCUCCUGGGGCAUUCUUGACGCUGAGGCGCGAAAGCUGGGGGAGCAAACGGG